UACAGAGGGUGCAAGCGUUAAUCGGAAUUACUGGGCGUAAAGCGAGCGUAGGUGGCUUGAUAAGUCAGAUGUGAAAUCCCCGGGCUUAACCUGGGAACUGCAUCUGAAACUGUUAGGCUAGAGUAGGUGAGAGGGAAGUAGAAUUUCAGGUGUAGCGGUGAAAUGCGUAGAGAUCUGAAGGAAUACCGAUGGCGAAGGCAGCUUCCUGGCAUCAUACUGACACUGAGGCUCGAAAGCGUGGGUAGCAAACAGG
rnacentral:rRNA from 2 species